rnacentral:rRNA from 1 species
AUUGAACGCUGGCGGCAUGCCUUACACAUGCAAGUCGAACGGCAGCACGGGUGCUUGCACCUGGUGGCGAGUGGCGAACGGGUGAGUAAUACAUCGGAACAUGUCCUGUAGUGGGGGAUAGCCCUGCGAAAGCCGGAUUAAUACCGCAUACGAUCUACGGAUGAAAGCGGGGGACCUUCGGGCCUCGCGCUAUCGGGUUGGCCGAUGGCUGAUUAGCUAGUUGGUGGGGUAAAGGCCUACCAAGGCGACGCUCAGUAGCUGGUCUGAGAGGACGACCAGCCACACUGGGACUGAGACACGGCCCAGACUCCUACGGGAGGCAGCAGUGGGGAAUUUUGGACAAUGGGCGAAAGCCUGAUCCAGCAAUGCCGCGUGUGUGAAGAAGGCCUUCGGGUUGUAAAGCACUUUUGUCCGGAAAGAAAUCCUUGGCCCUAAUACGGUCGGGGGAUGACGGUACCGGAAGAAUAAGCACCGGCUAACUACGUG